GAUGAACGCUGGCGGCGUGCCUAAUACAUGCAAGUCGAGCGAACAGACGAGGAGCUUGCUCCUCUGACGUUAGCGGCGGACGGGUGAGUAACACGUGGAUAACCUACCUAUAAGACUGGGAUAACUUCGGGAAACCGGAGCUAAUACCGGAUAAUAUAUUGAACCGCAUGGUUCAAUAGUGAAAGACGGUUUUGCUGUCACUUAUAGAUGGAUCCGCGCCGCAUUAGCUAGUUGGUAAGGUAACGGCUUACCAAGGCGACGAUGCGUAGCCGACCUGAGAGGGUGAUCGGCCACACUGGAACUGAGACACGGUCCAGACUCCUACGGGAGGCAGCAGUAGGGAAUCUUCCGCGAUGGGCGAAAGCCUGACGGAGCAACGCCGCGUGAGUGAUGAAGGUCUUCGGAUCGUAAAACUCUGUUAUUAGGGAAGAACAAAUGUGUAAGUAACUAUGCACGUCUUGACGGUACCUAAUCAGAAAGCCACGGCUAACUACG
rnacentral:rRNA from 1 species